GAUGAACGCUGGCGGCGCGCCUAACACAUGCAAGUCGAACGAACAGAUGAGGGGUUGCCUUCUCUGACGAUUGCGGCGGGCGUGUGAGUCACACGUGGAAAACGUCCCUAUAAGACUGACAUCACUUCGGGAAACCGGCUCUAAUCCCAUAAAAUCUCUUGACCCGCAUGGUUCAAUAGUAAAAGACGAUUCUGCUUUGACUUAUAGAUGGGUCCGCGCCGCAUUAUCUGGUGGGUAAGGUACCGGCAUACCAAGGCAACGAUGCGUAGUCGACCUCAGAGGGUGAUCGGCCACACUGGAACUGAGACACAGUCCAGACUCCUACGGGAGGCAGCAGUAGGGAAUCUUCCGCAAUGGGCGAGAGCCUGACGGAGCAACGCCGCGUGAGUGAUGAAGGUCUUCGGAUCGUAAAACUCUGUUAUUAGGGAAGAACAAAUGUGUAAGUAACUAUGCACGUCUUGACGGUACCUAAUCAGAAAGCCACGGCUAACUACGUG
rnacentral:rRNA from 1 species